UGGGGAAUAUUGGACAAUGGGCGCAAGCCUGAUCCAGCCAUGCCGCGUGAGUGAUGAAGGCCCUAGGGUUGUAAAGCUCUUUCGCCAGGGACAAUAAUGACGGUACCUGGAUAAGAAGCCCCGGCUAACUUCGUGCCAGCAGCCGCGGUAAUACGAAGGGGGCUAGCGUUGUUCGGAAUCACUGGGCGUAAAGCGCACGUAGGCGGAUCUUUAGGUCAGAGGUGAAAUCCCAAGGCUCAGCCUUGGAACUGCCUUUGAUACUGGGGAUCUUGAGUCCGGGAGAGGUGAGUGGAACUGCGAGUGUAGAGGUGAAAUUCGUAGAUAUUCGCAAGAACACCAGUGGCGAAGGCGGCUCACUGGCCCGGAACUGACGCUGAGGUGCGAAAGCGUGGGGAGCAAA
rnacentral:rRNA from 1 species